CACUCUUUGUUGAGCCGUUUCAGAGGGGGCUCCUGCAUUCAUGCUGCACAGGAGAAGCUGUUCAGCACAACACCUUUCCCUGGAGCAGAUGGAGCAAACUGUCUGUGAAAUGAAUUGUAUGUAGGAGGAAGAAACUGAAAUUAUUUCUAAUGGGCAGAGAUCACACUUUUAUGUAAUGCAGCUCCCUCUCAAUUCAGCUGAAGUAACAGGUGACCUGAGGGGAUCCCUGCAGGAUGCAGAUUGACAUCUUUGUGAUGAUAUCCUUCAAAUCUUCUGACCUUAGAGAUUCUAAGAAAAUGUAAGGAGAUUUAUUUUUGGCCAUCUAAUCCAAGUCCCCCACUGAUGAAGGAAAUUGAGAUGCAGCCCAUCCAGGGCAGAUGGCUGUUCAAUCUCUGCUGAAAGGCCUCCUCCAAAAGCGAUUACACUACUCCUCAAGGUAAUUGCUCUCAGCGUCAAGCUUCUCUAAUCAUCAAGAGAGUCUCUGGAUGUUCAGCCAAACUCUACCUUCGUAUGACAUAAACCAGAUGCAUCUAAUCCUGUCUUUGAGCAGCAAAGCACAUAUAUUUUUCCCUUUUGUAUGACAGCUAUUUAUGUACUUGACAAGGACUUGUAAUACAAUAAGAUUAUUCUAGAUUAAAAGGAAAAAUGGGGAGGAGACAUUAUUAAAUAGGAUAUGAUUAAAUUAAAAGGCGAUGAAAUUUGAGGAGAUAGUAAGGCAAUAAUCUAAAGAUGAAGUUACAAAAAUGUAUAAGAAUUGAAAUUUUAGUCAAGAUGGAUACAUUGUUGACACAAAUAUUACUCCUGGUUAUGCAUUGAUUUUAAAUAUAUUGGUUUAUAUUUAACAGAAGCUGAAAUGCAACUAAGUAGAAAAAGAGCCAUAUCUAUUAGUUGCUUUUGCUUGAAGAGAGGGAAAAGUCAACUGUGUUUUUAAUGUUUGUUGUUGUUUGUAUUUUAAAUAUUUCACUGUUCUAUUUUAUUGUUUAAAAUGGGGAUAGAAGGUAGUUGUUGAUCUGUUUUGGUAGGGAUGGGGGAAAAUAUAUGGUGGGAUAUUAUGUGUUUUUUUGUUUUAGAGUUUAGAUUGGUUGUUUAUAUUCUUAAUUGACUGUGAAAAUAUAAUUUUUUAAAAGAAAAGUACUUAUGAUUCUCCAUGGUUUUUCUCUUUUUGUGGGUUCAACACACUCAUUUUGUUGUUGUUAUGUGCCUUCAAGUUGACUUUAACAUGUGACAACCUUAACAUAGAGUUUUCUUCACAGGAUUUUUAAAGAUGGAAUUUGCUGUUGCCUUCCUCUUAGGCUGAAAGAGUGUGACUUGCAUAAGGUCACCCAAAAUAUUUCCAUAUCUGAAUAAGGACCUGUAAUCCGGUCUACUCACGCAACUCUCAAAUUACUAUUUCACGCUGGUUCUAAAACAAGUAUACAGCAUCAUUAUGUCAGUUCUGAUAGCUGCACUUACAAAAACAGUUACUCUCAUCUCUCUGGCAGAGAUAAAGAGAUACUCACAGGAACACCUCAGCAAGCAAGAAUCCAAAAGUGGCAGGCUAAUACCUGGAACCUCAAUCAGUGGCUGACGCCAGAUGAGAGACUCCCUCCUGGGCACACAGAAGAUUGGGUGACUUGGAAGGCACUGAACAGACUGCGCUCGGGCACCACGAGAUACAGAGCCAACCUUAAGAAAUGGGGCUACAAAGUGGAGUCCACGACACGCAAGUGUGGAGAGGAGCAAACGACAGACUACCUAUUACAAUGCAGCCUGAGCUUUGCCACAUGCACAAUGGGUGAUCUCCUUACAUGACACCAGAGGCACUCCAAGUGGUCAGCUACUGGUCAAACAAUAUUUAGUAUAAUGCCAAGUUUUUAAAAACUUAGUUUGUGUUUUCAAAUACAUUACAACUUGUACCCUCAGUUCGCUUCUGACACGAUAAAUAAAUAAAAUCUCUCUGGCAAAUUUAAUUCCCUCUAGGAACAGAUCCUUUGCAAGACUACUGGGUUCUGCACAAUCAAAAUUCAGCUAUCCCAAAAUAAUCUUUUCAACAUUGAUAGUGUGUAACAAUACCUUGCAGCUAGGUAAACCAUUUGUCAUCAUUUGCUUUGGGGAUUGCAGUUAAUCUCAGAACAUGGGGUGGACAAAUGGGGUCUUGCUCCUACCAAAAUCCUAUGCCUCCAACCUUGUGAGACCUGACUGCUUGCUAAAUAGGCCCACUCGUUUUUCAUAUCUUUUUAUAUUUACUGACUGAUCAAUCAUUUUCAAAUUGUCUUGGGAAAAAUGAAACACAUAAUAUACAUGGGAGUUGUGUAUAGAAAUUGGAGAAUGUGUGCAUUGGCAUAGCAGAAAUGUCCCUCUGAAAGUGCAUAUAGAAUUGUGUGAGACCUGGAAUUCUCAUUGAGCUUUUGCCACAAACUGACCUAACAGAAGCAGCCUAUUAAUUCAUAAGGUAGUAAGCCAACCCGAGAAGAAAAAUGGAAGUAGAUUUGUUCAACUUGUAACAAAAGUUCUGUCUCAUAACCAUGGGCUACUUUUCCAAAUUUAGAAAGAUGGAGAAAAUGUCAGAUACCACAUUUCAGACAAUCAUAAAGAAACUGUGCCAUUUCCUGACUAGGAAGAGCUGGCUCAGAUCUACUGGCAAAGAAGAUUUAAGGACCUUCCAAGCUUAUUGGAAAUUUGAUCAUCCAACUUCUGCACACCAAAGGGAAAGCUGAAAGACAUCAAAAUAGAAAAAAAUAAUGUUCAAGAUAGAAUGUGGGGAACUGAUUCAGCUUCCAUUGUUCUGGAAAAAUUAAAACAUCCCUUUACUGCUUUGGUUUAAUGCCUGUAAAUGGACUGAUGAGUUGAAAGACAAUUUUAUUUAUGGCUUCAUUAAUCCAUUCAAUUUACUGUAUUAGACAUUUUAGAAGAAAUUGUUACCAUGGGGCCUACAAAUAUAACAAGUCAAAUAUUUUGGAAGUCUAAGAAAUGAACAUAAGAUCAACAUAAAAAGUAUCCUAACCAAAAGGCACUAAAAUGUAACUGGGAACAACUAUUUUAAAAAAUUCUUAAACAGAUAUAAAAACUACUUGCUGGUUAGAGUAGACAACACAUUUACAGCUUCUGUGUAUAAAAUAGACUUUCUGAUGCUGAAAAUAUAUUACUGGAGGAACCAGGUUAUCUUUUUCCAUUGGGGGCAUUCCAUAACUAUGAAGCUACCACUGAAAAGACCUGAUCAUGAUGUGUUUACUGACAAAGACAAAGACUUUAUCCAUAACAUGGUUUAGUUUAGCCAGAUGCAGAACCAGCAGGACAGGAUGAAGGAAGAUCACUUCUAGAAACACCAGAUGUCACUUUUGUAUUUCAGCUCCAAACCAGAGACAGUUCUAAGUCCCCUCUUAAAAUAAACAAAAGAUCCAUGAAAUCUUCUGCCUAUGCAAUUGACACAAAAGACACCAGGUGUCAUCAGGAAACUAGACAUUUUGUUCCCUACGACAAAAUAGGGCCCCCUUUCAUUCCACACAUAGAAAGAAGUUGGAUGUACUGGCAGCCUAAUCUUGCAUCACUACUGGCAAUAUGGGUAUGUCCUUCCAGCACAUUUAAGAGCAACAGAUUGAUGGUGUUUUUAUAUUACACAAUUAUUCCAUUAGCCCCUGGUGGUGCAAUGGGUUAAGCUCUUGUGCCGGCAAGACUGCUGACUUGAAGGUUGGGUUGCCGACCUGAGGGUUGCCAGUUCAAAUGCAGGGAGAGCAUGGAUGAGCUCCCUCUGUCAGCUCCAGCUCCCCAUGCGGGGACAUGAGAGAAGCCUCCCACAAGGAUGGUAAAACAUCACAAACAUCCAGGCAUUCCCUGGGCAAUAUCCUUGCAGAUGGCCAAUUGUCUCACAUCAGAAGCAACUUGCAGUUUUUCAAGUUGCUCCUGAUAUACACAAAGAAAAUGGCAGUCAAAGUGGGAUUAUAGUGCUAAAAUCCUGUAGUGUGAAAAGGUUCAAGUUUAGCAGGGAGGAUGCACAUCAGAAUGUAGAGAACAGAGACAGGU